rnacentral:lncRNA from 1 species
UAUCAUAUAUUUGUUUUUCCGGAAAAAAUUUUUAGUAUUUAAGGAAAAAUCUGGUACGUCCGGAAAAUUUUUUUACCCCUAAAAUGGCACACUGACCGAAAUUUUUUUGGCGACGGGGGGGGGGGAGGUCGCCAAAAAUUUUUUUUGAGAUGCCCUUAUUUUUUUUAAAAGUGCCCCUCAAAGCCUGGCCCCCCCAACUUUUCUAAGCUUCCUACGCCCCUGGCAAUAUGGGCAAUACAGUGCGUCCAAUUCAACCUGCCCCAAGUCAACAAGCCACAGCCUCUAGCCACGAUGAAUUUCGGCGACUAUUCGCC